CAAAGUGUAGCUUAAAUAAAGCAUCUGAUCUACACUCAGAAGAUUUCAAAUAAAUUGACCACUUUGA
rnacentral:tRNA from 1 species